rnacentral:rRNA from 1 species
UACGAAGGGGGCUAGCGUUGUUCGGAAUUACUGGGCGUAAAGCGCACGUAGGCGGGUUGUUAAGUCAGGGGUGAAAUCCUGGAGCUCAACUCCAGAACUGCCUUUGAUACUGGCAACCUAGAGACUGGAAGAGGUUAGUGGAAUUCCCAGUGUAGAGGUGAAAUUCGUAGAUAUUCGCAAGAACACCAGUGGCGAAGGCGGCUCACUGGCCCGGUACUGACGCUGAGGUGCGAAAGCGUGGGGAGCAAACAGGG